UUAGGUGGUUAUAACGUUGGGGUUCCACCUCUUCCCAUUCCGAACAGAGAAGUUAAGCCCAAUUGUGCCGAUGGUACUGCGAAAGUGGGAGAGUAGGUAGCCGCCUUUU
rnacentral:rRNA from 1 species